AGAGUUUGAUCCUGGCUCAGAACGAACGCUGGCGGCGUGGAUUAGGCAUGCAAGUCGAACGUGAAAGGGGCUUCGGGCCUGAGUAAAGUGGCAAACGGGUGAGUAACGCGUGGAGAACCUGCCCGGGAAGUGAGGGAUAACACUCCUAACGGGGUGCUAAUACCGCAUGUGUCUGAGCGAGCGCAUGCUCGCGCAGGUGAAGGUGGCCUCUACUUGUAAGCUACCGCUUCCGGAUGGCUCUGCGUCCCAUUAGCUUGUUGGCGAGGUAACGGCUCACCAAGGCGACGAUGGUAGCUGGUCUGAGAGGAUGGUCAGCCACACUGGGACUGAGAUACGGCCCAGACUCCUACGGGAGGCAGCAGUCGAGAGGCUUCCGCAAUGGGGGAAACCCUGACGGAGCGACGCCGCGUGGGCGAUGAAGGCCUUCGGGUUGUAAAGCCCUGUCAGGUGGGAAGAAAGGUCGGCGGGUGAAUAAUCCGUCGGCUGUGACGGUACCACCAGAAGAAGCUCCGGCUAACUCCGUGCCAGCAGCCGCGGUAAUACGGGGGGGGCGAGCGUUGUUCGGAUUCAUUGGGCGUAAAGGGCGCGUAGGCGGCUUCGUAAGUCCGACGUGAAAUGUACCGGUUCAACCGGGGCGCUGUGUCGGAAACUGCGUGGCUUGAGGUCGAGGGAGGAAGGUGGAAUUCCUGGUGUAGCGGUGAAAUGCGUAGAUAUCAGGAGGAACACCCGUGGCGAAGGCGGCCUUCUAUCUCGAUCCUGACGCUGAGGCGCGAAAGCCAGGGGAGCAAACGGGAUUAGAUACCCCGGUAGUCCUGGCCGUAAACGAUGGGCACUAGGUGUGGGAGGUAUCGACCCCUUCCGUGCCGCAGCUAACGCAUUAAGUGCCCCGCCUGGGGAGUACGGCCGCAAGGUUGAAACUCAAAGGAAUUGACGG
rnacentral:rRNA from 1 species